ACCAAGCGCAGCGGACGAAGUCGACGCCGGCGAGUGCCUUUUUGUGCGGGUGUUUUUCGCGCGGCUUGACGCCGCUGCCCGGAUUCCAAACUCUCGGAUACGUGCCCACGACACCGACGUGCUGUCAAGCCCGGCCGAAGCGGGAUACAGCGACCCAAACCGCUGCGGAAUAACGCCGUCCCGACAGCGCGCUGGUGCUCCUCCGAGGGAGACCGAACCAUCCCGUCGAGUGCAGUGACUCUGUGUCAAUGACCUUGGAGUGAGUUUUGGACACCGGUGCCGCUUCAACCAGCGUUCCUGGCGCAAGACGCUGAGCGGCUGGGUCCGGAGCCGGCAUGGACGAGCGCUGGGAGUCCGCAACAUCGACCAAGGCCACUCGGCUUUUCCCGGCGGUGCCUCAGCAGCAGCAGCUCCGAGACCCCAGUUCAGCGUUCUUCAGCCGCUGCUAGAGAUCGCCCAGCAACCACGCCUUGAAAAGUAAAGCGUGCCACGAUCGAAGAGAGUUGGCCGGCUGCCAAGCACCUGCACCGCCGCCACACAAAGCACCUGGAAGAAAAAAGCAACGCAAGAAAAACAUGCGGGAGAGAGGGCUCCGAGACGCUUCGAGAAGACUUGGUCAGCCGCGGAAGCUUCGAAGACAACAAGAAAACACUACAAAAGGAGGACCUGGGUGGCGAAGCUAGACCCGGCCUCGCGUACCUAGAGG